rnacentral:rRNA from 1 species
AACGAACGCUGGCGGCAUGCCUAACACAUGCAAGUCGAACGAGACCUUCGGGUCUAGUGGCGCACGGGGGCGUAACGCGUGGGAACCUGCCCUUAGGUUCGGAAUAACUCCCCGAAAGGGGUGCUAAUACCGGAUAAUGUCCUCGGACACAAGAUUUAUCGCCUUUGGUUGGGCCCGGGUUGGUUUAGCUUGUUGGUAGUGUAAAAGCCUACCAAGGCUACGAUCCAUAGCUGGUCUGAGAGAAUGAUCAGCGACACUGGGACUGGGACACGGCCCGGACUCCUACGGAAGGCAGCAGAGGGGAAUCUUGGACUAUCGGCGAAGUCAUGAUCCAGCACGGCCGCGAAAGUGAUGAAGGUCUUAGGGUUGUGAAGCUCUUUUACCCGGGAUGAUAAUGACAGUACCGGGAGAAUAAGCUCCGGCUAACUCCGUG